rnacentral:misc_RNA from 1 species
GAAAUGCGAUAAGUAAUGUGAAUUGCAGAAUUCAGUGAAUCAUCGAAUCUUUGAACGCACAUUGCGCUCGCCAGUAUUCUGGCGGGCAUGCCUGUUCGAGCGUCAUUUCAACCAUCAAGCCCCGGGCUUGUGUUGGGGACCUGCGGCUGCCGCAGGCCCUGAAAACCAGUGGCGGGCUCGCUGUCACACCGAGCGUAGUAGAUUCUCAUCUCGCUCAGGGCGUGCUGCGGGUUCCGGCCGUAAAACAGCCUUAUUUUACCCAAGGUUGACCUCGGAUCAGGUAGGAAGACCCGCUGAACUUAAGC